rnacentral:rRNA from 1 species
UACAGAGGUCUCAAGCGUUGUUCGGAUUCAUUGGGCGUAAAGGGUGUGUAGGUGGCGCGCUAAGUCGGGUGUGAAAUUUCGGAGCUUAACUCCGAAACUGCACUCGAUACUGCUCUGCUUGAGGACUGGAGAGGAGACUGGAAUUCACGGUGUAGCAGUGAAAUGCGUAGAUAUCGUGAGGAAGACCAGUGGCGAAGGCGGGUCUCUGGACAGUUCCUGACGCUGAGGCGCGAAGGCUAGGGGAGCAAACGGG